rnacentral:rRNA from 2 species
CUGCGAAUGGCUCAUUAUAUAAGUUAUCGUUUAUUUGAUAGUACCUUACUACUUGGAUAACCGUGGUAAUUCUAGAGCUAAUACAUGCUGCCAACCCCGACUCCGGAAGGGGCGUAUUUAUUAGAUCCAAAGCCAACGCCCUCCUGGGGCUCCUUGGUGAUUCAUGAUAACUCUUCGAAUCGCACGGCCUUGCGCCGGCGAUGGUUCAUUCAAAUUUCUUCCCUAUCAACUUUCGAUGUUUGGGUAUUGGCCAAACAUGGUCGCAACGGGUAACGGAGGGUUAGGGCUCGACCCCGGAGAAGGAGCCUGAGAGACGGCUACUACAUCCAAGGAAGGCAGCAGGCGCGCAAAUUACCCAAUCCCGACACGGGGAGGUAGUGACAAUAAAUACUGAUACAGGGCUCUUUAGGGUCUUGUAAUUGGAAUGAGUACAGUUUAAACCCCUUAGCGAGGAACAAUUGGAGGGCAAGUCUGGUGCCAGCAGCCGCGGUAAUUCCAGCUCCAAUAGCGUAUAUUAAAGUUGUUGUGGUUAAAAAGCUCGUAGUUGAACCUUGGGCCUGGCUGGCCGGUCCGCCUCACCGCGUGCACUGGUCCGGCCGGGCCUUUCCCUCUGCGGAACCCCAUGCCCUUCGCUGGGCGUGGCGGGGAGGCAGGACGUUUACUUUGAAAAAAUUAGAGUGCUCAAGGCAGGCCUAUGCUCGGAUACAUUAGCAUGGAAUAAUGAAACAGGACGCGCGGUUCCGUUUCGUUGGCUCUAGGGACCGCCGUAAUGAUCGAUAGGGACAGUCGGGGGCAUCAGUAUUCAGCUGUCAGAGGUGAAAUUCUUGGAUUUGCUGAAGACUAACUACUGCGAAAGCAUUUGCCAAGGAUGUUUUCAUUAAUCAGGAACGAAAGUUAGGGGAUCGAAGACGAUCAGAUACCGUCGUAGUCCUAACCAUAAACUAUGCCGACUAGGGAUCGGACGAUGUUGUCUCUUGACGCGUUCGGCACCUUGCGAGAAAUCAAA